UGAUAAAUUUUGUAUCCUAUAUUCAUAAAGAAUAGUGAUCUUUAGUUUUCUUUUCUUGCAAAGGUCUUUUUUAGGUUUUGGUAUCAGGGCAAUGCUGGCCAUUUUAGUUCAGGAGUGUUUCCUUAUUUUCUCUUUUCUGAUAGAGUUUAUGUAGAAUUAGACACACAAAUGCUAUUAUUCCUUCUUUAAGCAGUGGUAAAAUUUAUUAGUGAAGCUAUUUGUACCUGGAAAUUUUAAUAAGACCAUUAAAUAAAGGUAGGCAAACAACCAAGAAUAUAACAGGUAGGCAAACAACCAAGAAUAUAAUGAGAUAAAGACAGGAGUAAAAAGCGUCAGAUAGAAAGUGAAUGAAUUGGAAGAGAGGCAAAGCAAAUCUAACAUUUGUAAAACUGAAGAAGAGGAAGAGGGAGAAGACAAUGAAGAUGAAGGAGGAGGAGGAAGCAAAGGAGAAGAUUUACUACCACCCAUGGACCGGAACUAAUAUUAAAACUAUAUUUCAACAAUGAAACAGGUCUAAUACUUAAAACUAUAUUUCAAGAAAACUUUCUGGGGCCCAUGAUAUGCCUGGAACAAUGGAAUAGGUCUUUAAUUUCUUUCAACAAUGUUUUGUAGGCUUCCCAUACAAAUCUUCCACUUCUUUUGUUAAGUUUAUUCCUAAAUAUAUACUAUUGUAAAUUAUUUUCCAAAUUGCUUUUCCAGAUCGUUCAUUGCUGGAUUUGCAUAUUGAUCUUGCAUCCUGUAACCUUUCUUUUUUCUUUUUGAUGCACUCCAGCCUGGAUGACAGAGCGAGACUGUCUCAAAAAAAAAAAAAAAAAAAAAAGAAGAUAAAAGAGGAACUUCUUCAGAGGAAUUCUGCCCUCUUCAGAAAUGGAGUGGGUUCCCUUUUGGCUACCUUUGGUAUGGUCUGGCUCUAUGGGCUCUAUGUCCCCACCCAAGUCUCAUCUCAAAUUAUAAUCCCCAUAUGUCAGAGGAGGGGCCUAGUGGGAGAUGAUAGGAUUAUGGGGGUGGAUUUCUCCCUUGCUGUUCUCGUGAUAGUGAGUGAGUUCUCACGAGAGCUGAAGCUGAUGGUUUUAAAGUGUGGUAGUUCCCCUCCACCACCUCCUGCCAUCAUGUAAGAUGUGUCUUGCUUCCUUCGCCUUCCACAAUGAUUCUAAGUUUCCUGAGGCCUCCCCAGCCAUGCCGAACUGUUAGUCAAUUAAACCUCUUUCCUUUAUAAAUUACCCAGUUUCAGGUAUGGACUAAUACACCCAUACUCUCUUCUUACUAAUACACCUUACUGUCUGUCAGGGGUGCCUUAGUGGGAAAGUUUGAGAAGCAUAGGCUUGAUGACUUAUUCCUGAGGGCAUAUUAAUGCAAGGUAGGGGACUGCCAGAGACUAAUGCCUUCAUUUAAAAGAGAUAAAGAUGGGUCAUUUGGUUGGAAGUGCAGCAUAUGUAACUCUGGCAUGCUAAAGCUGGCUCCACAACACACAGAGAGAUCUUCUCUAGUUAUAGGUAAUUCUUUGGACAUCCUCAGCCUCCCAAGUAGCUGGGAUUACAGGCGUGCACUGCCACGCCUGAAUAAUUUUUGUAUUUUUAGUAGAGAUGGGGCUUCACCAUGUUGGCCAGGCUGGUCUCCAAAGAUCAGCCAGCCUUGGUCUCCCAAAAUGCUGGGAUUACAGGAAUGAGCCACCAUGCCUGGCCCAGAACCAGAGUUCUUAAUGGCUGUUCGGACUUAAAACAUGGUACCCCAAACUAUGUAACCUUGGUGUGCUGAAAACUUUGAACUGAAGGAGAUUGGGAGGGCCUCAGAAGCAAGGUCCUUCUGACACCUCACUCUCCUUUCUUCCUCUUAUCUUCCCUAAGAAUUCCUCUUUUCCUGCGUAAGUCAUAGAAACAACUUCUCUCCCGCAAAGCAAGUCAUAAAACCUAGAGACGCCACUCCCCUGAAGGUAGAAAACCCUCAUUACAGAGGAGUCCUGUCCCCUAUCCAGGGGAAAGAAUG
rnacentral:lncRNA from 1 species